CCCUUAGAUGUUCUGGGCUGCACGCGCGCUACACUGAUGCAUCCAACAAGUUUUUUCCUUGUUCGAGAGGACUAGGUAAUCUUUUGAGAAUGCAUCGUGAUGGGGAUAGAUUAUUGCAAUUAUUAAUCUUCAACGAGGAAUUCCUAGUAAGCGCGAGUCAUCAGCUCGUGCUGAUUACGUCCCUGCCCUUUGUACACACCGCCCGUCGCUCCUACCGAUUGAGUGCUCAGGUGAAUAAUUCGGACUGCAGCAAUGUUUGGAUCCCGAACGUUGCAGCGGAAAGUUUAGUGAACCUUAUCACUUAGAGGAAGGAGAAGUCGUAACA
rnacentral:rRNA from 1 species